CCACUGUGUACAAAUCAUUCCAUUCAGUAUGCAAAGACGCAACAAAUUUUCACUCUCUGUGGUCAAACACCGAUAUCUAAUAAAACUGUAGAAAGUUGGCAAAUUCGCAGAGACACUGAGGAUACACAAUGAUUGUAACAAACAGAAGGGAGAGAACUAUUCUGUGAGCGGAACUGGGGAAUCUUCAUGAAGGGCAUAGCUAACUUCAACUGAAAAAUUCUAUUUGUGAGUUUAAGCAAACUGAUGUGUAAGCUUUAAUAAAGGACCAUUUCCCAUCGAAAGUCAGCAUAACUUGUGUUGCUCAAAAUACAUUUUUUAAAAGGCAGACGUGAAAUGCAAGUAGGAGGAUAAGCUAAAGUGGUAGCUCCCAAGAUUCUAAAGCAUUACUCUGAAACACGUUUGUUGCAUCGGCAGGCCCCUGAGAAGGCGUCUAGCACUGCGGACUUGCUGGCAAAUGAGCAGACCUUGGAAGGCAGGACACCUCCGCGGAAGUCGUCACUAGUAAUCAACUCCUAUUGCAUUGGAUGGCCCAAUGCCAUUUUGUUUGGAGAAUGGAACAGCACAGAAAUAACUCUGGACUUACAAGAAGGUAUCGUAAACUCAAAUGUCACCUCUGUUACCCAUUAAUCGUGGGCCCUUAGGCAAGUCUCUUAACUUUUAUGCUUCUAGCGGGAUGGCGACUAAGCAAUUCCUCUAGUUCCUUUAGGCCGAAUACAGAUAUUCAGGAAAAAUACCCACCAUACUGGUGUGCAAAAUCAGUAGAAAUAGAUAAGUUUGGUUAGGGGCCAAAUAACCACUCAUGUUUUCUCUAGAGUAUAAUAAAAGCAAGAAAUAGGAACAGGAAUAUUGAAAAGGGAUAAAUGAUUAACAAAAGCUUCUGACAGAAGUAGAAAAGGCUAGUUUGAAGAAGCAG
rnacentral:lncRNA from 1 species